rnacentral:rRNA from 1 species
AACGAACGCUGGCGGCAGGCCUAACACAUGCAAGUCGAGCGAGGACUUCGGUCCUAGCGGCGGACGGGUGAGUAACGCGUGGGAACGUGCCCUUUGCUUCGGAAUAGCCCUGGGAAACUGGGAGUAAUACCGGAUGAGCCCUUUGGGGGAAAGAUUUAUCAGCGAAGGAUCGGCCCGCGUUGGAUUAGGUAGUUGGUGGGGUAAUGGCCUACCAAGCCGACGAUCCAUAGCUGGUUUGAGAGGAUGAUCAGCCACACUGGGACUGAGACACGGCCCAGACUCCUACGGGAGGCAGCAGUGGGGAAUCUUAGACAAUGGGGGAAACCCUGAUCUAGCCAUGCCGCGUGAGCGAUGAAGGCCUUAGGGUUGUAAAGCUCUUUCAGCUGGGAAGAUAAUGACGGUACCAGCAGAAGAAGCCCCGGCUAACUCCGUG